UAUACAGAAUGUCUGGUUAGGAGAAACAAAUAUAACGCACCCACAGGGAGUGGCGCCAUUUUAAUAAAAUUUGUCAAAAACCUUAGAUAACAGUCAUACAGAAUAUAUUAGAAAGCUUUUUUGAUUUUCAGCCAAUCAGAGAGCAGCACUACUGAAAUAGAACUCCCAGGAGGUAACAGCGUGUCACACAUGUGAUGUCAUAACCAUUGUCCACCAAAGAGCAGCACUGAGCAGAAAUAACACUGCUCCUGUUCAUUCUCCAUCAGUGAGGGGCCGGUGCUGGACACUGUGUAGGGACGCGGGAAUGCAAAGUCAUACACAUGACUGUGACUGAUGCACUAUCUCCAGGACAUGGAGUAGCAUUUCCGGACCUACAGCAAGACGUUGGAUGAAGGCAUAGCCCCAGAAAUAACACUGGUCCUGUUCAUCAGUGAGGGGCCGGUGCUGGACACUGUGUAGGGACACGGGAAUGCAAAGUCAUGCACAUGACUGUGACUGAUGCACUAUUUCCAGGACAUGGAGUAGCAUUUCGGGACCUACAGCAAGACGUUGGAUGAAGGCACAGGCCUAGGAAUCAUGCACAUACACAGAAACAUUUGCCCAAAUUCUAGAGGUAACCUCCUUUAGUAUGCCCAGAGGAAGGGCCAUACAGUAGCCAUGGAUUCCCUACAGGUUUCCUCCCCUCUGGAGGUUUUUCCUGUCCUGAGUAUUAGUUACUGUACGCUCUUUGUGAGUGAUGGGAGGUUACAAAAAAUCCCCUACACAAACAUUUUAAUAAAUAAUAAAUAAAG